CAACUACUCCCUCCGUCCGAAAAUACUUGUCAUCAAAAUGGAUAAAAGGAAUGUAACUAGACGUAUUUUAGUACUAGAUACAUCUCCUUUUAUCCAUUUUAAUGACAAGUAUUUUCGGACGGAGGGAGUAUUAU
rfam:Triticum aestivum genome assembly, contig: Triticum_aestivum_CS42_TGACv1_scaffold_515239_6BS